rnacentral:rRNA from 1 species
UACGAAGGGUGCAAGCGUUAUUCGGAUUAAUUGGGCGUAAAGGGUGCGUAGACGGUAGGUUAAGUCUGCUGUUAAAUACCCCAGCUUAACUGGGGGCCAGUGGUGGAUACUGACAUACUAGAGGAUGGAAGAGAGAAGUGGAAUUCCCGGAGUAGCGGUAAAAUGCGUAGAUCUCGGGAGGAACACCAAUGGCGAAGGCAGCUUCUUGGUCCAUAUCUGACGUUGAGGCACGAAAGCGUGGGGAGCAAACAGG